AAUGGAUUUUUACUUAGAAUACCCUAGAAGAUAGCAUCUGAUGCUUGUUUAGAGACACCCACCUGGAAAGUGCUAAUAUGACCAGCAGAGUCAACGUGCAUUUGGAAUGCUACAUGAACCUUCACCAUUUUGUGGAAGAAAAACAGUUCUGUAGAGACACAGAAGCAGAAUGGAAAUUGGCUACCUUUGCUGCAGGAGCCUGGCUGUCUGAUUUCAGACCAGCAGGUCAUUUGGUCUGGCUACUGCCAUGUAACUUCAAAAAACUUACUCUUUUUUUUCAUUCUUUCAUUUAGUUGUUCAUUUAGCCUCUAUGUAGAAAGUAAAAAUCUCUUGAUAAUAAGCUGAGAGAUGUAUUCGAAUGGUCAUCAACUGGCAACUGAAAUACAAGUUUCUAGAAAUAUUGAAUACUUGAGUCAAAUGGCAUAUUAAUUAGAUAGAAAAAGUCACAGAAAUGUUUCUGGCAUAGAGUAUCUAACCUUAUAUUUACGGCACAGACAUGCGCUACUGCCAGGAAAGUAACCUGAAGAACUGCACACAGAAUGACAGAAUGUUUGCACUACAGCACAUCCCUACAUCCCUACACAUCUCUGCACCAUGGCUAUGCUUCUCUGGGUCACUGUUGACCUGGGCUGCAGUACUGGCAACAGAUCUCUUGGAUUUUAACAUGUUUAUCCUUUUUUUUUUUUUUUUUUUAAUUGCAUAGAAAAAGCAUAAAUGCAUCCUUAGUCACAUGUACCCUGCUUCUUUAUUGAAUCUUUUUUUUCACUUUUAAAAGACUUUAAAUGCCUGUAAAUCGAUACUGUCUGGUAAUGUUUCCAUUAUUCAACUUCUCUGCCUUCUCUUGGAAGUUAAUUUUUUUUUGGAAGAGCGUGCAUUAUAAUAUUCCAGUAUUCAGGGGGUAUCAGAGGAUAUUUAUAUGGUGGAAAUAUGAAGUUACUAUGGCUAGGAAAAGUGAAGCGGCUGCCUGCAAAAUGUAUGUGGUACCACACUGUGCACAGAAGGAAGGGAAGCAGUCUCAGGGGUAUAGUGCAGACAAGUAGGUCUUUGGGACCAAGACUGCUGUAGUAUUUGUUUAUGAUUCUGUUUUACACCUUAUAUAGGAUUUUGCAAAGGCACUUUCUAAUUC
rnacentral:lncRNA from 1 species